rnacentral:lncRNA from 1 species
AAAUAGUCUGCAACUUUUUUGUUUUAACCUUUAUUUAACCGGGUAGGCCAGUUGAGAACAAGUUCUCAUUUACAACUGCGACCUGGCCAAGAUAAAGCAAAGCAGUGCAACACAAACAACACAGUUACACAUAAACAAACUACGCAUGUGCGUGCGAAAAGCAACAUGUCAGUGCCCUUGAGCAUCAAAAUAUUAUAAUAAAAACAACGCUCUGUCUUUGGUGAUGUUUAUCUUGCUAGAACAUCCAGAUAUAAAUGUGAAUGGAAAAUAGUCGUUAUGGUCGACACAACUGCAGCUACGUACUAUCCAAAAAGCUUCAGAACGUCAUACCACUUCAAUUAGCUGUCGUUGUGUAGCGUUAACAGCUAGCAUGAUAAAAUGCAAAACAAAUCAACAAAUGAUAGCAAUAUGUUUCCAAUGUUGAAUUGAGCCUUUAAUGCAAACCAUUGUUUAGUGUGGCUUUUACACAAGCUGUCAAAAUGCACAUAGAGAACGUGUAUGGCCGAUCCUUGAUGUCCUCUUACCAGAGGUAGUCUACUGUCAUGUUUCAAAGAGAUUACCGAGCAGUAGAUGCCGAAAUCCGUCCCCAAAGCUUUGCCCAAAUAGUAGAGUUAUGCAUGCAACUCAGCCGUUGAUGAUUACGAAGUUACUGUCUGUGGACGACAUCUUUGCUAGAAGAUCACUACAGGACUACUUGAAGAAGAUGUAGACAGAGUACUGUGAUAGUCUGACAGACAAAGAGACAGCAGGAUGGUGAAGAGGAAUUGAGAGUGAAGAGAACAUCUCCUUCUGUACUAGCCCUAGUGAUCCAAUACUUCAGAGAGCUUCAGACAAAACAGCAGAAAUUUGGUGAAACUGAAACAUUACUGAAAGGUGAGGCCACACCUAAUGUGUGAUAUUUUAUCAACAGAUGCAGAAGGACAUUGGGCAUCUCAUGGCCAUUAGUUCUUAGCAGCUUGAGAGUUUGCUUAUGUCAUAAACAACUCAUUCCUUAAUUCGGUGACUGUCUGAAAUGCAUCUUGUGACUACCCAUCUUGUACAAUCCAUUCGGAAAGUAUUCAGACCCCUUCCCUUUUUCCACAUUUUGUUACAUUACUGCCUCAUUCUAAAAUGGAUUAAAUAAAAAAAAUGUCAGGCAUAGAGAACUGAUACUGUAGAGAAUCAUUGUGAAAUAUCUUUUCCAUACACACAAAAACUUAACUUAAGACCGGAAAGAAUAGAAAUAGCGCACAUAGAGCAGAUCUACUGCUUCUUAGACCUGUCUUCAAUUAAGAAUGACAGAUCUAUAACUCACAUUCAAAUGUGGAUUUGGUCGUGUUGCCCAAAAAGUUUAAUAUUGCAGCUUUAAGGAACAUUUUUUAUAUAUUUUUUUUAUUUUUAAUUUGAAUGUUUAGCUCACAUAAUAUAAUUUAAAGGUAUGAAUAAAGGUGUCUGUUAUAGUCAUCUAGUGUAUUUAUAAAUCAUUGUUUGUCACUUUGUUCCUUAAUCAUAUCUAUAGGCUAUAUAGGCUAUUCAUCAAAGUAGCCUAUUUUGCAUUGAUAACCAAAUAAUCUCAGCGACUGUUCAAGCAUACCAUCGUCAAGAAUCCACCCAAAAAGGUGUGAUCUCAGAAUGCCAGGAGGAAAGGUCCCAACUGAAAAAUAAAAAAAGGCCAUGAAGGUUCUACAUACCAAACUCUAUAGUAUGAGGCUGGAAGAAGAGACCAGUAAGCGAUAUACUGCACGGAAAGUCCAGGUAGAUCUGAGAAAAUCAGGAACGACAACUUUCCCCAGGAACCGAAUCACAGAUCAUUGGAUUGGAAAAACGGUGCAUGAUGUCCGAGAGCUCCUUGAGGAAAUUAAUCUGGCACUACAGGAGCUCCCUAAGCAGGAGAGUCAUUGACAUUCUUGGAGAAAAUGACUCUGAUCAAUAAUAGCCCAGUGUAUUUGUUUGCCCAACUCACAUACUUAGAGCCCACUUAACACAUUCCGCUCACGAGUGUGAAAUUCCAGUCCACAAACUGCUUUUGUUGCUCAUUUUGCAGUAAAACUUCAAAAUAUGUCAGUAUAGAACUUUUCUCAAAUCCUUUCAUUUGAGAACCGAAAGUCUUGCCCAAGAAAUUACAUUUGUGUGUGACAUGACAGGUACAGUAGAUUCGGAAAGAAUUCAGACCCCUUGACUUUUUCCACAUUUUGUUACCUAACAGCCUUAAAAUAAAAUGGAUGAAAUAAUUUUUCCCCCUCAUUAAUCUAACCACAAAACCCCAAGCGAAAACAGGUUUUUAGACAUUUUUGCAACUUUAUUAAAAAUAAAAAACAAAUACCUUAUCUACAUAAGCAUUCAGACCCCUUGCUAUUAGACUCGAAAUUGAGUUCAGGUGCAUCCUGUUUCCAUUGACCAUCCUUGAGCUUUUUCUACAACUUGAUUGGAGUCCACCCGUGGUAAAAUCAAUUGAUUGGACAUAAUUUGGAAAGGCACACACCUGUCUAUAUAACGUCCCACAGUUGAAAGUGCAUGUCAGAGCAAAAACCAAGCCAUGAGGUCGAAGUAAAUGUCCGUAGAGCUCCAAAGCAGGAUUGUGUCGAGGGACAGAUCUGGGGAAGGGU